CAGCAGCCGCGGGAAUACGUAGGUGGCAAGCGUUGUCCGGAAUUGUUGGGCGUAAAGGGCUCGCAGGCGGUUUCUUAAGUCUGAUGUGAAAGCCCCCGGCUCAACCGGGGAGGGUCAUUGGAAACUGGGAAACUUGAGUGCAGAAGAGGAGAGUGGAAUUCCACGUGUAGCGGUGAAAUGCGUAGAGAUGUGGAGGAACACCAGUGGCGAAGGCGACUCUCUGGUCUGUAACUGACGCUGAGGAGCGAAAGCGUGGGGAGCGAACAGGAUUAGAUACCCGGGUAGUCCCUGUCUCUUAUAC
rnacentral:rRNA from 1 species